rnacentral:rRNA from 1 species
GAUGAACGCUGGCGGCGUGCCUAAUACAUGCAAGUCGAGCGAACAGACGAGGAGCUUGCUCCUCUGACGUUAGCGGCGGACGGGUGAGUAACACGUGGAUAACCUACCUAUAAGACUGGGAUAACUUCGGGAAACCGGAGCUAAUACCGGAUAAUAUGUUGAAUCGCAUGGUUCAACAGUGAAAGACGGUCUUGCUGUCACUUAUAGAUGGAUCCGCGCCGCAUUAGCUAGUUGGUAAGGUAACGGCUUACCAAGGCAACGAUGCGUAGCCGACCUGAGAGAGUGAUAGGCCACACUGGAACUGAGACACGGUCCAGACGCCUAAGGGAGGCAGCAGUAGGGAAUCGUCCGCAAAGGGCGAAAGCCUGACGGAGCAACGCCGAGUGAGUGAAGAAGGUCUUCGGAGCGUAAAAAUCUGUUAUUAGGGAAGAACAAAUGUGUAAGUAACUAUGCACGUAUUGACGGUACCUAAUCAGAAAGCCACGGCUAACUACGUG